rnacentral:misc_RNA from 1 species
AAGUCGUAACAAGGUCUCCGUUGGUGAACCAGCGGAGGGAUCAUUACUGAGUAUCUUACUCUCUACCCUUUGUGAACUAUUAUACCUGUUGCUUCGGCGGCGUCCCCCCGGGGGCGCCCGCCGGGGGGACGCUACCAAACUAUUGCAGUCAUUGGCCUCUCUGAGUAUGAUUUUUAAAUAAGUCAAAACUUUCAACAACGGAUCUCUUGGUUCUG